CGAAUACUCCCUCCGUUUGGAAAUACUUGUCAUCAAAACGAAUAAAAGGGGAUGUAUCUAGAUGUAUAUUAGUUCUAGAUACAUCCCUUUUUAUCCAUUUUGAUGACAAGUAUUUUCGGACGGAGGGAGUAGAUG
rnacentral:pre_miRNA from 1 species